AGUUAAUGGGUUACCUGUGUAAUAAACCAGUUCAUCCCAGCCAGGUUUAUGCCACGCUGCAUUCCUUAUAUCUUCCCUGGUUUGCAGGUCUUUGUAAGCUGGGAAAACAAGCAAAAAGUGAUUCCUUUCCCUCCUGAACAGGAAGAGAUUCCUUAAAAGAAUUCCAAGGAGGAAUUGGGAAAAGCAGGAAGGAAAAAAAAAAAAAUCAGGACUUCUCUGGCAGAAGGAAAAGCUCAAAAAGGAGGAGCUGGGGAAGACAGAAAAUACCAGGGCACAGAGGAGAAAGCUGAAAUGGCAAAUUCUGUUAUGCAGGGGGAAGGUGGCUGCACCCCCAUGGAGAAUUAAGGAAGAGGCAGGAGGGAAGUUCAGAGAGGCUUUAUUUUGUUUAUUACUUUAUUCAAGUUUGUCUCCUUGCCUGAAAUGCUUCAAUUUGCUCAGGAAAGAAAGAAUCAAUCCAACCACAGAUAUUUCAUCUGACUGCUGUCAGCAGUUUCUUUCUUUGCUGUUUGUCUCUUUCCUUGCAAAGAGAAAUCUCUGCUCUCACUCAACAUUCAGGCAGCUCAUGAAAUUCUGCAGAGAAGUGAUUCCCUGGCUUGCAUCAUUGGACAUGUUUAUAUUCAGCUUUUAAACAGCAAGCUGGCUGAAUGCUAAUUGUCCUUUAGUGUGUGUCUAUUUUUAAACAAAAAAAAAGCUAAAAAUACCUUGAUUGAAUGUUAUUCUAGUGGCUUUUUAUGCUUCUACAGCAGGGAGAACAGUUCUGGGUUAUCCAGACUAACACAGAGGUGAGAGAUGAGCUGAGGACAUGAACUGGGAGCUGGGAUUUCCUCCCCUCCCUGCAGCCCAGCUGCUGUGCUCACACCUCAAAGUUGGUUGCAGGAAGGUGUCAUUAUUGUCACUAUUGUCAUUGUGCUGAGAAUGUUUGUAUUGGCAGUGAGAAAAGCACUGCUGGCUGCCAGGCUCAGCCCCAGAUUUAAACACACAGCUCUUUCAGGGCUCCAGAGGGGAAAUUGUGGAGGCAGAAAGGAGUAAUAGUUCUGCAGUUUUAUUCUUAAAGCAAAAUGUCAGUAAUUCCUAAAGCUGUAGCUGUUUGGGAAAGCUGUCUCAGUACUGCUCCCUCUGGAGGGAAUCACCCCAAAGCACAAACCCCAUCCAAGGGUUUCUGUAACUCCUUGAGCUCAGCAGCAGGAUUUGUGCAGAGGGAUAAAAAUGAGCUGACAGGAAAUCAACCCCUGAGUUUCAACAUCUGAGUUUAACAUUGGUAAAGUUUUAUUUAACACUGGUCUCUCUUUCCUUCCAGUGUGCACACAAACCCCAGCUGCAGUGGGAAUGCCAAAACUCCACCCCUCCCUGCAGGGAUCAGAACUUUAACAUCACUCAGGGUAGGGGGGAGCUGCUCCAGGAAAUGUCACCAGAGCUCUCAGGACAGGAAUCACCCUCAACUACAGCUCAGGAAAUGGCAAUGCCAAGAGAGAGGUUUGCACACAGAUGCACUCACUGUGUGAGCCUUCUGCCAGGCUCUGAGAACUCUCUCCAAAUCCAUUUCCCACAUUUCCCCCUCUCUCUUGAUAAGAAAAAAACUUUUUGGAUGGCUUUGUUCAUCAUUUGCUGUGUGACGUACACAAGGUAUUAACAUUGCACUGUAACAAUUAAUGUAUAUAAAAUAUUCAGUGAAACUUUAAAAAUUCUCUACAAAUCCAUUCCCACAAUGCCCAUUAUCCAUGGUUAUUCCCUGUGUAAUGUCUGUUUCUUCUGCUAUUUCUCCUCUUUUUAACCCACUGCCUUUGCCCAGGGCUGGGUCUGGCCUGGUGUAAACAGUCAGGAGUGAAAAAGAGCAAAAAAGGUGCAGAAGGAAAAGUGCAGAGUGUAAAAGGGAAAGGAACUGCCAUAUGUUCCUGUGCUGCUUAAAGACAGCUCUACAAAAGGGGAAGGGAAAUGCCUUUCAAGAGGAAAAACAGCAUGAAAGGCUAAUUUGGGGAAAAGAUGGGUGGUAGGAAACAACCAGCCAGGAAAUAUUUCAAUUCCAGAUUCCAGCAACAUUUAGGGACACAGAGCCAGGCUCUCUGCACAACAUCCAAGUUUCCUUGCCUCAAAAGACAAAAUUUUCACUCUCUUUUCUUAUCUAAUCUUUAUUCAGCUUCUCCAAGUACACUUUCAGAAUAGUGGCACCUCCUUUACAUCAGAGCACACAGACCAAGAGAUAACUGUGCUGUUUAAAGUGAUGUGUGAAAGGAAUUAUUCCUCUUUUCCAGAUGAGCAGGACAAGGCAUCUGAUGCAUUUCACUGAUCCUCUACAAUGUCUGAGAAGCUCAAAUGGUUUUGCUUCUUUCUCUUCCUUCCAUUUGCCUUAUUUUGACAGCCUCAUAGUAGCCACAGUGAAGAAAAUUAAUUCUGUCACAAGUUUCUCCUGAAAUACUAAAAUAUUAAAUGUGGUAUUUAUAUUUACAACA